UGAAUUUUGUUUAGUAUCUCCUCCUGGU
rnacentral:piRNA from 1 species